GAUGAACGCUGGCGGCGUGCCUAAUACAUGCAAGUCGAGCGGAAGGUUUAGCAAUAGACCUUUAGCGGCGAACGGGUGAGUAACGCGUUGGUGACCUGCCUCGAAGCUUGGGAUAACAGUUCGAAAGGACUGCUAAUACCGGAUGUGUUCACGUGGAUUAGAAGCCAUGUGAGUAAAGGAGAAAUUCACUUCGAGAGGGGCCUGCGUCCCAUCAGCUAGUUGGUAGGGUAAAGGCCUACCAAGGCGAUGACGGGUAGGGGACCUGAGAGGGUGGCCCCCCACAAUGGAACUGAAACACGGUCCAUACACCUACGGGAGGCUG
rnacentral:rRNA from 1 species